CUCGACUCUUGGAGUUAGAGCGCCACGUUGCAAUAAAUGGGCGCAUUCCGAUGACGAUCGCCCCUGGAGCGGAGAAGCCUAUUUCUCCACACGUCGUUCGCUUCAGCCAGACGAUAGGCGUGUGCGUGCGAAAGACAUUUUCCGUCCGCUGUCUUAAGUGGGCGGACGUUGGGAGAGAAUACAUUGAGGUCGUCAAGGGCGACCUCCAGUGAUUGUUUGUGCUUGAUUUCAAUGAUCAAGCAAUGAACAGGUUUGUUGAGCAUCAGAUGCUCACGACCUUUAAAGAGUUCCGGACCGACUGUCAUAGACAUUUCAAAAAGUACAGCGACCCGGAGGAGGCUCGUGCCAACCCACCAAACGCAUUGGUUGGACGUGAUGAGGAUUGACACUUCCUCUGUGACCAUUAUAUCAGCCGUGCAUUCUAGGAGCAAUCACGGACGAACAAGGCUGCUAGACAGAAGCAGCCUUACAAUCAUAGUAGCGGGUCCAAGUCGUUUCUACAACGACAGUAUGAGCUCGCUGAAAGAAGAGGGCAGCCGGUCGAUCGUGUAGAAUUAUUCCGGGAAACACACGUUCGAGCUGGGACAUUCGUGUCGCAGGCCGUCGAGGAUGCGCAUAAUCAAAUGCUGGAACUCCAAUCCCAGCCUACCCCAGAGGGUAGUCAGCCACUAUUUGAGGAUGAGAUAUGCAAUCAGGUGUUGGGUAGACGACCAGGCUACUCAAAAGGCCUUGGUUGGGGACCCAAGCCGAAGGCCCGCAGAACGGCGAGUGCAAGCAGUUCGUCGACAUCUUAUUCGCAGUCCACAAAAAAAGAGAUUGAAUUACAAGCUAAACUUCAUGAAGCUUUGGAACGGAUUGAAGUACA